rnacentral:lncRNA from 1 species
UUUUUUUUUUUCAAAAGCAAGAGUGUACCUCCAAAAGCUGGUACAAGUUUUUAAGUCAAGCAUGUAUUAGCACAGGACAACAAUCUCUAUUCCCAAGGGAGAUUGCAACACUCGUCUUUGUUCACCAGAUGUGGUCCAGCCUUUAGAUCAUUUCCCAGUUAAUCUCUCUCCAGUACUAAUGUUGACUGAUCAGUCAACGUCCAAGUGAGGGGUUUUGGAAUAGAGCAAGAGACAUAGAUUGGAUAAGUCCAAAGAACAGAGCUAUGUGGACUCAGUGCUCAUUUUCCCAAACAGUAAGGUACAGUAACCUGUUUACUUUUUGUUAUAUUGGUCAUGCCAAUCUGAAUAAGCAGAUCGGUGGGUUUCUAGGACUUUCCCACUUGCUAAAGUAUGUUAAAUGGAGCUGUGUCAAAACCUGUAUUUGCAUCUCAGAAACCUAAGUAGCUGGGAAAAACUAGCAAAUUGUUUUGUUUUUAUAUAUAUGAAUCAAAUCUGAAUAGGACUUGAUUUUUAGUUUAAAUAUUAUAGUGCUCAGGUUAGCUAUCUGUUGGAUUAAAUGUCAGGCAUAUCCUUAAUUUACUAAAUUAGUGUUCAAGUCUGUAAUUGAAGUAAUCCCUUUGAUAAUGUAUCCUUAAGGCAAGGGAAUACUUUGACUUAAUUAAAAAGAGAAUGUCAGUUGAUGAGUCUGUCUUUUCAGAGAAUGUCUCCUUGCAGAUAUAUUGAAUCAAAGAAAUAAUAAUCAGCUCAGUGAAACCUUACUGUUAGAGAACAUAUUUGUAAUUUUUAAAUGAAUAUAUCAUUUGUGUAAUUAGGCAAUGUGAGUCUGUCACAUUUGCUCUGAUGGAGAAAAUAGGUUUUCUGAUACUAGCACAGACUCUGAUCUUAUCCUGAACUAUAAUCUUAGAGAAUUCUCCUAACCAAUGUUUGCUUCAGUUUAUUUUUAUCAUAGAGGGGUAAUUCAUUAAACACAACAUUUUUAAGAGAACUUUUAACACACAAGGUUUUUAAUUUUUGUUUUUGUUUAUGUUAGUAAUACUCUAGGAGUAAGUCCCGGUUUCUCUUCUCCUGGCCUGUCAAAAACCAGCUUUAUGAUUUUGGCAAGUUAUUUAACUACAGAUUCUUUCACGUAUAAAAUGUCAAGUCUGAUCUUCAAUGUUGGAUUCCAGAUCUAUUUUUCAGUGAGUAUUUGUUUUAUUUAAAGAUCAUCUUUUGUUUUCUAAAUAUUGAAGAUGUUACUCUUCAUAUUAAGUUGACCUUUUUUAAAGAUUUUAUUUAUUUGAGAGAGAGAGACAGAGACAGAGCAGGAGUAGGGAGGAGGGGGAGAAGCAGACUCCCUGCUGAGCAGGGAGCCUGACAUGGGACUCGAUCCCAGGACCUGGAGAUCAUGACCUGUGCCAAAGGCAGAUGCUCAACCUACUGAGCCACCCAGGUGCCCCGUAAGCUGAUCUUUUAUUCCUAUAUAUUGAGAUCUAAAAGUUCAAAGUUGGAAUAAUACUGUCAGGAAAACAGAGGAGCUGGGAAAGAGUGGAAAAUGGACAGAGUACUAAGUAUCCUGUUCAGAACAUUCUGCUGGGUUAUUGUUACCUUUCGUUGUCUCUGAGCUAUUUUGUAACUUUGUACAAUGGAAAAUACAGUUAGUGAUUCUAAGGAUUCUUGCCUAAAGAUGUGCAGAUUGGGUCCACUGAAAUGCAAUUGACCAUUGCCUUUGGAUAGGAACAUGGUUUAUGUUCAUUUGAAAAUUCAUUUCAACAUCCCUAAUUGCUCUAUACGUCUAGUUCUUUGAAUUCUUCUUUGCAUCAGUUAUAACACUGUAUUGGUUUCCUCAUUAACUAAUAAGUUAAAUAAAAUCUUGGACAUAUGAGCAUUUCAUAUUUGUAUUAGGGUCAUGAUUAAAGGAUAAUUAAGAAAUUAUCCUUUAAUUUACCUACAUAAUUAGAUUACUGCAAGGAUUAAGUAAGAUGUUGCCAGCGUGUUAAGUACUAGGCACAGUGCCUGUGACCUAAUGAUGAUGGUUAUUCAUGUUUAGUCUACUGAGCAAGUGAACUUUGGUUCCAGCCAAGAGUGUCUUCCUCA